CUCUGCAGUUAAGUCCCCAGUGCUCCCCAGCACCAGCAGCCAGUGCAGUGGUCGAGUUAACCACCACCCUCAGGAGAGCUCAGCGCAGAUGGGAUGAUUUUUAGGAUCUCACCUGCCACAGAUUUGUACGGUUUGGCUGGAACUUGUUUCCCCAGGGAUACAGCCUUUCUGCCAAGGAGGAAAAGACACCUGUUACUCCUGUGUCACUCCAGUUUUUAACCAGGCUUUUAUGAUUGGUUUUAUAAUUAUAUGAACAGGGCUUGUGGGUCUAAUCCCUACAGACACUGCCAAGGAAGCGAGGAGAGACCGGAAUCAGCAACAUCUUAAUUAUUUACUUAUUGUUAUUAUUAUUAGACUCCCAGGCCAAAAGAAGUGGUUGACCUCCUCCCCGUCCCUUUUCUGCCCCCUGUUAACCCGUGAAAACAUCCCAGGAUGGAGGUUUGGAUCUGAUGGAACUAACACUACUCAGUGUCUCGGUUUGGAAAAGGGUUCAGCACACGCUGACACACACACGAGCUCCCAGCACGGAGAGGAUUCACCACAGCAGGUUUUUCACUCACCUGUCUCCAAAAAGCCUUUUCGAUGGGCAGCCACCAUGGGGCCGACUGGGGAAAGAAACACCACCAGAUUAAAGGUAAACUGGUGACACCUGAACUGGUGACACCCCCUGACACCGUCCCACAGCAGCGUGUGUUAGUCUGGAAAUGGCUCAAAGCUGCACUUUGAGCUGGGUUAUCACAGGUACUGGGAUGGUGCUUUCCCACAGAGCAGAGGCAUCUGAUUUUAAGAGUGAAAAUAGAUCAAGAGGCUCGUGCUGGUUUAGUUUUUCUGUUUAAAGUUUGAUUAUUGAAGUACUUUGAGAUGUGCUUUGCUCUGUCACAGCUCCCUGGAGCAGCUCUGACAGCACUCACAGAGGAUGUGAACAGGGGAGCACCAGGAAUCAACCCCAGCUCAGCCUGGGGCUCAAAACCCUGUCAGGUUCAAAAGCAAAACCACCCCAGACUAAAGGAAAACCCCUGAGAACAGCCAGGCCCUGCACUGAGAGGCACCUGCUCCUCUGUGGAAAAGCAAACCCAUUGUCACUGAAACUCAUCCCUGUGGGGUUUAGAUUUACCUCCAGUUUUUGGGUGACUUUUUUUUUCAGCUCUUCGGACACGAAAUCCUCAAAGACAAAGCUCCAGCCAAACGCUUCUGCUUCUGUUUUGUAUUUCUUUUCUCUAACAAACUCCCUGGCAUAAAUACAACAUGCUCAGGCUUCUGGGUAAGAGAUCUUCAAGUGCUGUACCACCAAAUACAGCAAUGUGUGCAUGCAGCAAGUUCAGAGCAAGGCAAAAGGUACAUGACCCACAGACACCCCAGCUCCAGAGAGUCCUGGCUCCUCCCCAGCACAGUUCCAUAUGGAUUGAUAUAGAUUUAACAGAAAAACCAUAUAGAUCUAACAGAUAAAACCAUUCAAUAUGCAUCUGUUCUCAGAUCUGAUCGUUUUUAUGUUACCUCUGCAGGUAAACUCACCCUGCACUCAGGCCUUCCAUAACAUGUAACAAUUGCAGAGAUUCUAAAUCCCUUAAAAGCCAAUAAAACCUGCAGAUGCUGUUGUAAAUGCCCCCAAAAUG